rnacentral:rRNA from 1 species
AUUGAACGCUGGCGGCAGGCCUAACACAUGCAAGUCGAACGAGUGGCGGACGGGUGAGUAAUGUCUGGGAAACUGCCUGAUGGAGGGGGAUAAAUACUGGAAACGGUAGAUAAUACCGCAUACCAUCGGAUGUGCCCCGAUGGGAUUAGAUAGUAGGUGGGGUAAAGGCUCACCUAGGCGACGAUCCCUAGCUGGUCUGAGAGGCUGACCAGCCACACUGGAACUGAGACACGGUCCAGACUCCUACGUGAGGCAGCAGUGGGGAAUAUUGCACAAUGGGCGCAAGCCUGAUGCAGCCAUGCCGCGGGUAUGAAGAAGGCCUUCGGGUUGUAAAGUACUUUCAGCGGGGAGGCGUUACCCGCAGAAGAAGCACCGGCUAACUCCGUGCCAGCAGCCGCGGUAAUUC